rfam:Otolemur garnettii contig069691, whole genome shotgun sequence.
GCUGGAUGCAGUGGCGAGUGUCUGUAGUCCCAGCUACGUAGGAGGCUGAGACAGUAGGAUCACUUGAGUCCAGGAGUUCUGGGCUGUAGUGUACUAUGCUGAUCCGGUGUCCACACUAAGUUCAGCAUCAAUAUGGUGACCUCUGGGGAGCUAGGGGCCACCAGGUUGCCUAAGGAGGGGUGAACCGGCUCAGGUUGAAAAUGGAGCAGGUCAAAACUCCCAUGUUGAUCAGUAGUGGGAUCGCACCUGUGAAUAGCCACUGCACUCCUGCCUGGGCAACAUAGCAAGACCCCGUCUCUA